rnacentral:rRNA from 1 species
AAAAAAACCAGAAAAGAAAUGGAAAAAAAAAAUAACUUUGAGCGGUGGAUCACUCGGC